UAACGAAGGGGGCUAGCGUUGCUCGGAAUUACUGGGCGUAAAGCGCACGUAGGCGGAUCUUUAAGUCAGGGUGAAUCCUGGAGCUCAACUCCAGAACUGCCUUUGAUACUGAGGACCUUGAGUUCGGGAGAGGUGAGUGGAACUGCGAGUGUAGAGGUGAAAUUCGUAGAUAUUCGCAAGAACACCAGUGGCGAAGGCGGACUCACUGGCCCGAUACGUG
rnacentral:rRNA from 1 species